rnacentral:rRNA from 1 species
GACGAACGCUGGCGGCGUGCUUAACACAUGCAAGUCGAACGGAAAGGCCCUGCUUUUGUGGGGUGCUCGAGUGGCGAACGGGUGAGUAACACGUGAGUAACCUGCCCUUGACUUUGGGAUAACUUCAGGAAACUGGGGCUAAUACCGGAUAGGAGCUCCUGCUGCAUGGUGGGGGUUGGAAAGUUUCGGCGGUUGGGGAUGGACUCGCGGCUUAUCAGCUUGUUGGUGGGGUAGUGGCUUACCCAGGCUUUGACGGGUAGCCGGCCUGGGAGGGUGACCGGCCACAUUGGGACUGAGAGACGGCCCAGACUCCUACGGGAGGCAGCAGUGGGGAAUAUUGCACAAUGGGCGGAAGCCUGAUGCAGCAACGCCGCGUGCGGGAUGACGGCCUUCGGGUUGUAAACCGCUUUCGCCUGUGACGAAGCGUGAGUGACGGUAAUGGGUAAAGAAGCACCGGCUAACUACGUG